GCCCGCAUGGCUCAGUGGUAGAGCGUAUCACUAGUACUAAGCCGCUAUGAUAAGGUCAUCAGUUCGAUUCUGAUUGUGGGCA
rnacentral:tRNA from 1 species